rnacentral:piRNA from 1 species
UGAUUGCGAGCACAAAACGGUGGA